rnacentral:lncRNA from 1 species
CAGUAUCUACAAGCAACGAACACGGAAGAAUCGAGCAAACUAAACAUUAGUACCAAUUCACUGAACCCAUUAAACACAACACCCAUCAGCCAAUUCCCAACAAUCCAGCAGCCUCACAAAUUAUCACGUCUUCUCACCACUACCUCCACCUUUACCAAACAACUAAACCCUGCCACUAACAAAAAAACCGAUCAUUACUAAAGCCACACACAGAAAGCAACUGAAUCGUUUGUUUCUCUAGACUCAUUGCCAACUUCUACCAAGCAGCUAACAACCACAACCCCAAUCCUAAUCCCAACCGAGACCUUAGUGCCAACUACAACUGCAAACCAAACCCAAUACACCGAAUUCCCAUGACAACUCGCUGAAAGAAUUCAAAGCCUCAACCAAAUCAACAACAACAACCAAUAAUAAUUCAGCAUUCAAGAAAAUACUCGACAAGGAACAAAUGAUAGACAGAAGAGGUAUUAGCAAAAUACACAGGUUCAAUAAUAAAGGGCAACAAAAGACAACACGAAAGCAAAGAACAGAAAAUAUAUUGUUGACAGUGCCAAAGGUGAUAGUGAAUUGGUGUUGGAUACGAGGAUCUGGUUUAGCCACUUUAUUGAGGGUGUUUGGAGUUUCAAGACUUUGGUGGUCGACAGUGACAGAAGCGGCUGCAAUUCUAGAGGUUGACGAUGGCCGGUGGGUUCUGGGAGAUCAGAAUCCACGAACACAAAGAGCAUUGAGAGGAGAAUGACAUAUUGAAAUCUCAACUUAAUCGGAUGGCGAAAAGAGCUUGAAGAAGUGGUGGAAAGGUCAUAGUUUUAGCUCUAGGUCUAGGCCAUCAGAAGAUGAUUUGUGAAGAAACGACCUCAGAUCUAAGACGAAGAGGCCGAAAGGAGGCUGGCGGUGAAAUUUUGACAUCAAUAAGCGUCGUGGCCAAAGGCGGCGCAACGUCGGCACUGCCUACUGGAACUCGUAGGAAGAGAAAGCAGAGAAGCUGAUUUUUUGGAGAGAGAGAGAGAGAGAUGG